rnacentral:rRNA from 1 species
GUGAGUAACGUGUGGGUAACCUGCCUCAUACAGGGGGAUAACAGUUAGAAAUGGCUGCUAAUACCGCAUAAGACCACAGCACCGCAUGGUGCAGGGGUAAAAACUCCGGUGGUAUGAGAUGGACCCGCGUCUGAUUAGCUAGUUGGUGGGGUAACGGCCUACCAAGUCGGCGAUCAGUAGCCGACCUGAGAGGGUGACCGGCCACAUUGGGACUGAGACACGGCCCAAACUCCUACGGGAGGCAGCAGUGGGGAAUAUUGCACAAUGGGGGAAACCCUGAUGCAGCGACGCCGCGUGAGCGAAGAAGUAUUUCGGUAUGUAAAGCUCUAUCAGCAGGGAAGAAAAUGACGGUACCUGACUAAGAAGCCCCGGCUAACUACGUGCCAGCAGCCGCGGUAAUACGUAGGGGGCAAGCGUUAUCCGGAUUUACUGGGUGUAAAGGGAGCGUAGACGGCGAGGCAAGUCUGAUGUGAAAACCCGGGGCUCAACC